rnacentral:rRNA from 1 species
CUACGUGCCAGCAGCCGCGGUAAUACGGAAGGUCCGGGCGUUAUCCGGAUUUAUUGGGUUUAAAGGGAGCGUAGGCCGUGGAUUAAGCGUGUUGUGAAAUGCAGGUGCUCAACGUCUGCACUGCAGCGCGAACUGGUUCACUUGAGUGUGCACAACGCAGGCGGAAUUCGUCGUGUAGCGGUGAAAUGCUUAGAUAUGACGAAGAACUCCGAUUGCGAAGGCAGCUUGCGGGAGCACAACUGACGCUGAAGCUCGAAAGUGCGGGUAUCGAACAGGAUUAGAUACCCUGGUAGUCCGCACGGUAAACGAUGGAUGCCCGUUGUCAGGCUGUUUCAGCCUGGUGACCAAGCGAAAGCAUUAAGCAUCCCACCUGGGGAGUACGCCGGCAACGGUGAAACUCAAAGGAAUUGACGGGGGCCCGCACAAGCGGAGGAACAUGUGGUUUAAUUCGAUGAUACGCGAGGAACCUUACCCGGGCUUGAA